GCGAGCGUAGUCUAGUGGUUAUGAUGUCUGCUUUACACGCAGAAGGUCGGGAGUUCGAUCCUCCCCGCUCGUA